rnacentral:rRNA from 1 species
AACGCGAAGAACCUUACCAAGGUUUGACAUCACCCGGAAACGUGCAGAGAUGUGCGCCUCUUCGGACUGGGUGACAGGUGGUGCAUGGCUGUCGUCAGCUCGUGUCGUGAGAUGUUGGGUUAAGUCCCGCAACGAGCGCAACCCUUGUUCCAUGUUGCCAGCACGCUCCUUCGGGGGUGGUGGGGACUCAUGGGAGACUGCUGGGGUCAACUCGGAGGAAGGUGGGGAUGACGUCAAGUCAUCAUGCCCCUUAUGUCUUGGGCUGCAAACAUGCUACAAUGGCCGGUACAGAGGGCUGCUAAGCCGUAAGGUGGAGCGAAUCCCUAAAAGCCGGUCUCAGUUCGGAUUGGGGUCUGCAACUCGACCCCAUGAAGUCGGAGUCGCUAGUAAUCGCAGAUCAGCAACGCUGCGGUGAAUACGUUCCCGGGCCUUGUACACACCG